rnacentral:rRNA from 1 species
AGUGAACGCUGGCGGUAGGCCUAACACAUGCAAGUCGAACGGCAGCACAGUAAGAGCUUGCUCUUACGGGUGGCGAGUGGCGGACGGGUGAGGAAUACAUCGGAAUCUACUUUUUCGGGGGGGAUAACGUAGGGAAACUUACGCUAAUACCGCAUACGACCUACGGGUGAAAGCAGGGGAUCUUCUGACCUUGCGCGAUUGAAUGAGCCGAUGUCGGAUUAGCUAGUUGGCGGGGUAAAGGCCCACCAAGGCGACGAUACGUAGCUGGUCUGAGAGGAUGAUCAGCCACACGGGAACUGAGACACGGUCCAGACUCCUACGGGAGGCAGCAGUCGGGAAUAGUGGACAAUGGGCGCAAGCCUGAUCCAGCCAUACCGCGUGGGUGAAGAAGGCCUUCGGGUUGUAAAGCCCUUUUGUUGGGAAAGAAAAGCAGCAGGUUAAUACCCCGCUGUUCUGACGGUACCCAAAGAAUAAGCACCGGCUAACUUCGUG